GACGAACGCUGGCGGCGUGCUUAACACAUGCAAGUCGAACGGAAAGGCCCUGCUUUUGUGGGGUGCUCGAGUGGCGAACGGGUGAGUAACACGUGAGUAACCUGCCCUUGACUUUGGGAUAACUUCAGGAAACUGGGGCUAAUACCGGAUAGGAGCUCCUGCUGCAUGGUGGGGGUUGGAAAGUUUCGGCGGUUGGGGAUGGACUCGCGGCUUAUCAGCUUGUUGGUGGGGUAGUGGCUUACCAAGGCUGUGACGGGUAGGCGGCCUGAGAGGGUGACCGGCCACAUUGGGACUGAGAUACGGCCCAGACUCCUACGGGAGGCAGCAGUGGGGAAUAUUGCACAAUGGGCGGAAGCCUGAUGCAGCAACGCCGCGUGCGGGAUGACGGCCUUCGGGUUGUAAACCGCUUUCGCCUGUGACGAAGCGUGAGUGACGGUAAUGGGUAAAGAAGCACCGGCUAACUACGUG
rnacentral:rRNA from 1 species